GGAGAUAUAGUUCAGUUAGUAGAGUGCCUGCCUUGCAUGCACAAGGCCCUGGGUUCAAUCCCCAGCACCACCA
rfam:Ictidomys tridecemlineatus contig031712, whole genome shotgun sequence.